AUGAUGAUCUGAUAGACUAAUAUCAUUUGUUUCUGCUCAACUCUUACGCUCUGUUUGGGUGGGGGGUGAGAGAAAGGUAAAUAAGGGUAAGGAGGGGUAAGUAACUAUUAUACCCUGUUUGAGAAGAGGUGAGUUAGUAAAAGAUAAAGGUAAGUAAGGAUAAGGCUUACCCUUCUUUACCCCUCAAAUCUCAAUUUUUCUUACACCCCAAAUUGAAGUGUAACCAGGGGGAGGUGAGAGCUGAAAAU
rnacentral:misc_RNA from 1 species